rnacentral:rRNA from 1 species
UCUAAGUAUAGACGAUUUUAUCGUGAAACCGCGAACGGCUCAUUAAGCCAGCUAUAAUCUACUUGAUCUUGACAUAUCUACUUGGAUAACUGUGGUAAUUCUAGAGCUAAUACAUGCACAAAUUCUCUGACCUUGCGGGAAGAGCGCAUUUAUUAGAGCAAAACCAGGCGGCUUCGGUCGUUUUUUGCUGACUCAGAAUAACUCAGCUGAUCGCACGGUCUCGUACCGGCGACGUGUCUUUUGAAUGUCUGCUUUAUCAAUUUUCGAUGGUAGUGUAUCUGACUACCAUGGUUUUGACGGGUAACGGAGAAUCAGGGUUCGACUCCGGAGAAGGGGCCUGAGAAAUGGCCACUACGUCUAAGGAUGGCAGCAGGCGCGCAAAUUACCCACUCUCGGAAUGAGGAGGUAGUGACGAGAAAUAACGAGACCGUUCUCUUUGAGGCCGGUUAUCGGAAUGGGUACAAUUUAAACCCUUUAACGAGUAUCUAUGAGAGGGCAAGUCUGGUGCCAGCAGCCGCGGUAAUUCCAGCUCUCAAAGUGCAUAGAACCAUUGCUGCGGUUAAAAAGCUCGUAGUUGAAUCUAUGCCUGAGGCUUGGUCCACUCUUUGAGUGCGUACUAGGUUCUUUGGCUUUUCGUCGGUUUUCUUGUCGUGGCCUUUAUUGGUGGCGGCAAGUGGCUGACAAUUUUACUUUGAACAAAUCAGAGUGCUUAAAACAGGCGUCUCGCUUGUAUGCUUUUGCAUAGAAUAAUGGAACACGACUUCGGUCUAGUUUUAUUGGUUUUUAUAGAUCGUUGUAAUGAUUAAAAGAGACAAACGGGGGCAUUCGUAUUGUUGCGUGAGAGGUGAAAUUCUUGGACCGCAGCAAGACGACCUACAGCGAAAGCAUUUGCCAAGCUUGUCUUCAUUAAUCAAGAACGAAAGUCAGAGGAUCGAAGGUGAUCAGAUACCGCCCUAGUUCUGACCGUAAACGAUGCCAACUAGCGAUUCGCCGGCGGAUUAUUUGCCCUGGCGAGGAGCUUCCCGGAAACGAAAGUCUUCCGGUUCCGGGGGAAGUAUGGUUGCAAAGCUGAAACUUAAAGGAAUUGACGGAAGGGCACCACCAGGAGUGGAGCCUGCGGCUUAAUUUGACUCAACACGGGAAAACUCACCCGGCCCGGACACUAUAAGGAUUGACAGAUUGAUAGCUCUUUCAUGAUUUGGUGGAUGGUGGUGCAUGGCCGUUCUUAGUUCGUGGAGUGAUUUGUCUGGUUUAUUCCGAUAACGAGCGAGACUCUAGCCUACUAAAUAGUCUGCUCAUUGCUAUUGUGCAGCAGUACUUCCUAGAGGAAUUUUCGGUGUUUAACCGCAUGAAAUUGAGCAAUAACAGGUCUGUGAUGCCCUUAGAUGUCCGGGGCUGCACGCGCGCUACACUGGUAAAGUCAGCGUGCGUCUCCUUUCUCGAAAGAGAUUGGUAAACCAGUGAACGUUUGCCGUGAUAGGGAUCGGAAAUUGCAAUUAUUUUCUGUGAACGAGGAAUUCCAAGUAAAUGUGAGUCAUCAACUCGCGUUGAUUACGUCCCUGCCCUUUGUACACACCGCCCGUCGCUGCCCGGGACUGAGCCAUUUCGAGAAAAUUGGGGAUUGCUGACUGACGGUUCUUCGGGACUGUUUUUUGGUGAAAACCAGCUUAAUCGUAGUGGCUUGAACCGGGCAAAAGUCGUAACAAGGUGGCUGUAGGUGAACCUGCUGCCGGAUCAUUAUCGUACUCUGUUUAACUAAUACGGUAAAUGACAUGUUGAGGUCAACGCGCUGCUUAUUCUCGGCUAUCGUUGAUAGCUUUCACAAAGUUUUAAUAUGUUCGCUUUGUGACACUCUUUUGGAGACAGAUGAGUGGAGAAUAGGUGGCAGACUAUUUCUGAAGUCUGGUUAACUAUUAAUGAUAGCCAGCAAAACGGCUUUCGUUGGCUUCUGCGUUACACUGAGCAAUUGUGUUCGUUGCAAAUCGGUGAGCGGUGGUGGGUUGCUGCCGCUCGCAGCUCGGUUGGCAACGACGACGUCCGUGAUUGUGUUGACGUGUGACGAGACGCGCGCAAUGCCAGUUUGGUUUGCGGCGCGAGGAUUAAUGAGCACUGGGUUGGUGCCGCCAACAAAUACAUUCUCCUUUUAUAUGUUUUUAUAAAACAAUAAUACACACAGCCUUACCGAUGGAUCACUCGGUUCGUAGUUCGAUGAAGAACGCAGCUAACUGCGUUAAUUGAUAUAAUCUGCAGAAACCUUGAGUAUUAAUUUGUUGAAUGCACAUUGCGCCAUUGGAGUUACAUCCUUUGGCGUGUCUGGUUCAGGGGCGUUUCUUAAACACACGUAUUGACUGCUCUGGCGUGGUGUAAGGCGACAGUUAGUAGUAUAGGCGGGGGUAGGUGUAUAUUUACCUCCGCGGCUACAUUGCUAAUGUCUGCUCGCUUAUAAAUGAGUGCUGUUGAAGACGUUGCCUGCUAUUUUUUCGUCGCAGUUGUGUGGUGUCAUUGACCUUUUGCCUAGUGGCGAGACACAAAGCACGGCGGACGUUGUAGUGGCGGGCGACUUUUGACGAGUUGCCUCAUCUAUGUUAAAUGCCCUGAACUCAGACACGAUUACCUGCUGAACUUAAGCAUAUCAGUAAGCAGAGGAGAAGAAACUAACAAGGAUUCCCGUAGUAACGGCGAGUGAACUGGGAUCAGUCCAGCGCUUAAUCGUUGUGCAUUUUGUACUGCGAGGUGUAGCGUAUAGGCGUUGUCUUUUGUGCGUUCUUUCGUGGUACAAGUUACCCUGGAUUGGGGCUCCAUAGAAGGUGAUAGACCUGUUCUAUUCGGAAGAAUGUACGAGCGACAAUGCUUUGGAGUCGGGUUGUUUGGAAAUGCAGCCCAAAGCAGGUGGUAAACUUCACCUAAGACUAAAUAUCACUACGAAACCGAUAGCAAACAAGUACCGUGAGGGAAAGUUGAAAAGCACUUUGAAGAGAGAGUUAAAGAGCACGUGAAAUCGGUAAGGUGGAAACGGAUAGAGCUGACGUGUCCGGCACGUAUUCAGCUGUUGCUUAUAUUUGUCGACGGUCAGUUGAUGUCGAUGGUGGUUCGCCGCCCGUUGGCGUUAGCUGAUUGUUGUUCGAGUGUGAGUGAUGGUGCAUUUACGGGCCAAUGUGCGCUGGGACGUGCGCGCUGGUUGUUUGCGGUUUAGGUAAGAGGAUGCUCACUUCGGUGAGUAAAACCAGACCUUUUCUUGUGGGCAAUUCGGUGUGCGCGUUAAAUGAGGGCGAGGCUUACGGGCGCAAUAGCUUAUUGUUUUUGUGGGGCAUGGCGGUCGCAUGCGACACGUGUGCUUUGUGAAUUCGAUAGCUGUAGUGUUCUCUCGUCCAUUCCCGGUGUAAGAGUCAAUCAUCUAUCCGACCCGUCUUGAAACACGGACCAAGGAGUUUAACGUAUGCGCGAGUUAUUGGGUGUUUAAAACCUAUUAGCGUAAUGAAAGUGAAUGCGUCCUCGAGAUGCUUAUAUGCGAUCCAAUGCACUUCGGUGUGUAGGCGCAGCAUAGCCCCGUUCUCGUCGCUUGCGAUGGAGCGGAGGAAGAGCGUAUGCGUUGAGACCCGAAAGAUGGUGAACUAUGCUUGAGCAGGACGAAGUCAGAGGAAACUCUGAUGGAAGUCCGAAUCGGUUCUGACGUGCAAAUCGAUCGUCUGACUUGGGUAUAGGGGCGAAAGACUAAUCGAACUAUC